GUUAGAUUAACGAGAGUCUUGUCUUUAAAUAGCUGUAAAAUAGUCAUAUGUUUGAGAAAUUGAAGUAAUAGGAUUUUUAAGGUAUUUGAAAAUCGCGCCACAGGAUUCAACUGGCUGUUACGUAGGUGGGACGAAUUCGUCCCACCUGCCCUAGAGAGGUUAACAAAGUUUAGCAGUAGCUUUUUGGAUUCCUUUCUCUACAUGUUGAACAAGUGGAUUACUCAAAUCGAUGGCGCCAACUAAACAGACUUUUUUGGGAUAUAAAUAAGGAUUUUAUCCAACAAAAUGACCAUGCAUGUUGUAGCUAGGACCCUUGGGAUUGCAAAUCAGAGGAUGAUUUUCAAAAAGUAAGUGAAUAUUUGAUCGCUAUUUGUGAUUUUACGACGCCUGUGCUGGUUGAAAAAUAUCUUGAUGUGGGACGCCGUCCUCAAACAAUCGCAUGGCAUGCUUCGCUGUAAAGCCUAUUGUAAAUCGGACAAUGCAGUUAGAUUAACAAGAAUUUAAGCUUUUAACCCAUAUAAGUUGUCGGCAGGUGUCCCGUUGACGGGACGCCUAGCCCUUGAACAGUUAAUCAAAUUGCUAACAGGACUAUUCGCAUUGUCCCCACCCCCCAUUUUUACGCUGCUUCUACUCUCUGUUUAUUAUCCAUGCAUAGUCACUUCACCUCUACCUACAUGUACAUAUUACCUCGACUUACCGGUAUGUAUAUAGCCUCGCUACUGUUAUUCUGUUUUUGCUCCUUAAUUAUAUUUAUAUUUUUUAUUCUUCUUAAAACUACAUUGUUGGUUAAGGGCUGGUAAGUAAGCAUUUCACUGUAAGGUUGUAUUCGGCGCAGGUGACAAAUACAAUUUGAUUUGAUUUGAACUAGCUGUUGUGUGUCUCUGUGAAAAAGACUUAGCUAACCAUUUAUACACAGCCUAUUUAUUUAUAGGCUACUAGCUAGUCAUGUGAUGUGUUUGCUUGAUAGCUACUUGAAUUGAGAGUGCGUGCUCUGUGUAGGGGCCACGGAGGUGCAGCACUGCAGUGUUUGAAGACUUUCUAUGUCCGAGGGGAUCGGAGAGCUGGGAUAGUUCAAGGUGACAAUGGAGAAGGCCAGUCACGUGGAGCAUACUGCUGCACGCACAAAGCCAUGGAGCUACUGACAACACUCCCUGUGGUACAGCCAUCACUGCCUACCAGUCUAUGAAUCUGGAGACACUGGAGGUGUUUGGGGUGGAGAGGACGGUGGACUCAGUGGAGGACAUCCCAGCCACGUGGCAAAGGACGCUCCUCCCUCAGCGCUUUUGCCCGUUCACGUCACGGCGGUUCAGAUUAAUAGACCUCCCUCAGUUUUGGCACUGCUACAUCCUACCUGAUGGUCCGGCGUCAGGCAUCAGGCUCCUGUCAGGCUAUGCUGAUGAGCCGGAAUUUACGAUUUUGUGUCACUGGACUACACGCACUACCCCAUAAUGUCAAAAUGGAAUUAUAUUUUUAGAAAUGUGUACAAGUUAAUAAAAAAUGUAAAGCUGAAAUGUAUUGACUCAAUAAGUAUGUCCAGGUGUGCGUAAUAAUGGGCAGCAGGUGUGUGUAAUGAUGGUUGCCAGG
rnacentral:lncRNA from 1 species